rnacentral:rRNA from 1 species
ACGGAAGGCAGCAGUGAGGAAUAUUGGUCAAUGGGCGGAAGCCUGAACCAGCCAAGUCGCGUGAAGGAUGAAGGUAUUAUGUAUUGUAAACUUCUUUAGACGUAGAGAAAUAAGAGGCUCGUGAGCCUUGAUGCUAGUAUACGUAGAAUAAGGACCGGCUAAUUCCGUGCCAGCAGCCGCGGUAAUACGGAAGGUCCGGGCGUUAUCCGGAUUUAUUGGGUUUAAAGGGAGCGUAGGCGGUAUUUUAAGCGUGUUGUGAAAUGUAGACGCUCAACGUCUGAAUUGCAGCGCGAACUGGAGUACUUGAGUGCGCAGGAAGUUGGCGGAAUUCGUCGUGUAGCGGUGAAAUGCUUAGAUAUGACGAAGAACUCCGAUUGCGAAGGCAGCUGACUGUAGCGUAACUGACGCUGAAGCUCGAAAGUGCGGGUAUCGAACAGGAUUAGAUACCCUGGUA